UCUAUUUUUUUUAACUUUUUAAUUUUUUAAAUUGAUACAUCAAUUGUUUAUAUCCAUCAAACAAAACUGAUAGACACAUAUCAAAAAGCUACACAUUUUUUUUAUUUAUUUUUUUUUCAUUUUUUAAUAUGUAGGAUAUUUACAAAUAGAAAAUGUUUAACACCCCAAAUUUUUUUUCAUAAUCGAACUUAUAAUGAUGUAGCUAAUGUGAAUAAUAGGAUGUAAAUGAAAGCAAAACAUCGAUGUGGAUCAAAAUAAUCCCAGUCAGGGUACACAGCUCGGUGCGUUCUACUAAUUUAUUUUAUUGGAUUAGUAGGCUUUGUUAUUUAAAUCAUUGAAUUAACAUUGACAAACAAAUGAAGCAGAUAAUUGCAAAUGGAAAAGCGCCCGAUUUAGCAGAAUUUUACAAGUCCAUCCACUACAAUUCGGACACGCAUGAAUGGAUUUCAUCGGAGAGCCAAGUUAAUUAUGACAACCUGAUAUAGACGCAAGCAGAACACCUCUCGCAGACUAGUGCGAUCCCCUUGACCCCAGAGGAGUUGUCAGUGAAGGUGCUUCAGCCAAGGCCAGGUUAUGUAAAAGGACUCGGUUUGAAAAGUCAGAGAAGAAACAAAGCAAGAAGAUACAAAGUAUCAUCGAGUGUUUGAGGCAGAAAGGUGUCACGGGAAAUUUUGAGAGUGGGGAAAGUUCAGAUUCUGAUUGACAAGCUAUUUGAUUCGAGAUUUGAUAUGGAUGUGUUUGGUAAUUUGGAGGGCCGAUGGUAGCUC